CCUACGGGAGGCAGCAGUAGGGAAUCUUCCACAAUGGGCGAAAGCCUGAUGGAGCAACGCCGCGUGGGUGAAGAAGGUCUUCGGGUCGUAAAACCCUGUUGUUAGAGAAGUAAGUGCGUGAGAGUAACUGUUCACGUUUCGACGGUAUCUAACCAGAAAGCCACGGCUAACUACGUGCCCGCAGCCGCGGUGAUACGUAGGUGGCAAGCGUUAUCCGGAUUUAUUGGGUGUAAAGGGAACGCAGGUGGUCUUUUAAGUCUGAUGUGAAAGUCUUCGGCUUAACCGGAGUAGUGCAUUGGAUACUGGGAGACUUGAGUGCAGAAGAGGAGAGCGGAAUUCGAUGUGUAGCGGUGAAAUGCGUAGAUAUAACGAAGAACACCAGUGGCGAAAGCGGCUCUCUGGUCUGCAACUGACGCUGAGGUUCGAAAGCGUGGGUAGCAAACAGGAUUAGAUACCCCGGUAGUC
rnacentral:rRNA from 1 species